CAAUCCAUUUAGUGUGAUUUGUUUUAAUUUAGUUCAAACAUUUGAGAAUACAAAAAUAUAAUUUUAAUAAAACUUAAAUGGAAGUAUGUUUAACAAAUGUGAUAGUAAUGAAAUUAAAAUCUUCGUUUUAACAAUAAUUUAAAGAAACUUAUUUACAGAUAUUUAUAAUUACCACGUUCAUCAGCGAUUAGAUUAAAAUAGAAAAGAAGUGGAAUAUGGUACACUGUAUUGUAUCACGGCUACCCAAGGGUGUGAAGUAGAAUUGGAAUGUAAGCAGUGCAAUGUCCAGCCUCGCUUCCAACCUUUGGUUCUUGACAAUUCAUUAGACAGUAAUUAGUUCCUGACAAAUUGUUUAUCAUCACAUAGCUGGAGUAGUUUUCCAGGAGUAGUACAGCGAUUAGUUUCUAUCGUCUGACUUAAAUUUGUUUUACUGUGAUGGCAAGAAUGCAAAUUAUAAGGUUGGCUCGAGUUGUAAUCUAGACAAAAAUUCUCUAAGACAGACAGUUAUUGAUACAUAUGCUAUAUGAACUUGCAAGAGACACAAUUCAAGGCUGUUCUAAAAAAUAUUUACAGAGUAUUGCUGGAAAGAAUACCAUAAAGUUGGAAGACCUAACGAGAAGGCUAACAUAGUUAAUAUUUUGAUACUGUUUUCAAGUGCAAUAUUUAAGAGAAGCAAAAUAUGAAGAAUUAUUAGCAGGAAACUGAAAAAUUCAAGAAAGAACAUGUUCACUGAAUGAUAAAACCUCUGUGUUUCAAUAUCAUCUAUGUUGUCGAUUACCACAAAAUGUGUUAUAUUUAAGAUACGGUAGCUGUUGUAGAGCAUAGUAUCGAUUUUAGUUAAACAGAGAAGAAAAACAUAUCAAUAAAUAAUUCUUUCCUGCCUGCCAGAAAUAAUCAAGAUUCUCUAUCGACUUGAUACUCGAAGU